rnacentral:rRNA from 1 species
GAUGAACGCUGGCGGCGUGCCUAAUACAUGCAAGUCGAGCGAACGGACGAGAAGCUUGCUUUUCUGAUGUUAGCGGCGGACGGGUGAGUAACACGUGGAUAACCUACCUAUAAGACUGGGAUAACUUCGGGAAACCGGAGCUAAUACCGGAUAAUAUUUUGAACCGCAUGGUUCAAAAGUGAAAGACGGUCUUGCUGUCACUUAUAGAUGGAUCCGCGCUGCAUUAGCUAGUUGGUAAGGUAACGGCUUACCAAGGCAACGAUGCAUAGCCGACCUGAGAGGGUGAUCGGCCACACUGGAGCUGAGACACGGUCCAGACUCCUACGGGAGGCAGCAGUAGGGAAUCUUCCGCAAUGGGCGAAAGCCUGACGGAGCAACGCCGCGUGAGUGAUGAAGGUCUUCGGAUCGUAAAACUCUGUUAUUAGGGAAGAACAUAUGUGUAAGUAACUGUGCACAUCUUGACGGUACCUAAUCAGUAAGCCACGGCUAACUACGUG